UACGUAGGGCGCGAGCGUUGUCCGGAAUUAUUGGGCGUAAAGAGCUCGUAGGCGGCCUGUCACGUCCGCUGUGAAAUCCCGGGGCUCAACCCCGGGCCUGCAGUGGAUACGGGCUGGCUGGAGGCAGGCAGGGGAGAACGGAAUUCCUGGUGUAGCGGUGAAAUGCGCAGAUAUCAGGAGGAACACCGGUGGCGAAGGCGGUUCUCUGGGCCUGUUCUGACGCUGAGGAGCGAAAGCGUGGGGAGCGAACAGG
rnacentral:rRNA from 1 species